AUGAACGCUAGCUACAGGCUUAACACAUGCAAGUCGAGGGGCAGCAUCAUCAAAGCUUGCUUUGAUGGAUGGCGACCGGCGCACGGGUGAGUAACACGUAUCCAACCUGCCGACAACACUGGGAUAGCCUUUCGAAAGAAAGAUUAAUACCGGAUGGCAUAAUUAUUCCGCAUGGGAUAAUUAUUAAAGAAUUUCGGUUGUCGAUGGGGAUGCGUUCCAUUAGGCAGUUGGCGGGGUAACGGCCCACCAAACCUACGAUGGAUAGGGGUUCUGAGAGGAAGGUCCCCCACAUUGGAACUGAGACACGGUCCAAACUCCUACGGGAGGCAGCAGUGAGGAAUAUUGGUCAAUGGACGAGAGUCUGAACCAGCCAAGUAGCGUGAAGGAUGACUGCCCUAUGGGUUGUAAACUUCUUUUAUACGGGAAUAAAGUGAGCCACGUGUGGCUUUUUGUAUGUACCGUAUGAAUAAGGAUCGGCUAACUCCGUGCCAGCAGCCGCGGUAAUACGGAGGAUUCGAGCGUUAUCCGGAUUUAUUGGGUUUAAAGGGAGCGUAGGCGGGUUGUUAAGUCAGUUGUGAAAGUUUGCGGCUCAACCGUAAAAUUGCAGUUGAUACUGGCGACCUUGAGUGCAACAGAGGUAGGCGGAAUUCGUGGUGUAGCGGUGAAAUGCUUAGAUAUCACGAAGAACUCCGAUUGCGAAGGCAGCUUACUGGAUUGUAACUGACGCUGAUGCUCGAAAGUGUGGGUAUCAAACAGGAUUAGAUACCCUGGUAGUCCACACAGUAAACGAUGUAUACUCGCUGUUGGCGAUAUACGGUCAGCGGCCAAGCGAAAGCAUUAAGUAUUCCACCUGGGGAGUACGCCGGCAACGGUGAAACUCAAAGGAAUUGACGGGGGCCCGCACAAGCGGAGGAACAUGUGGUUUAAUUCGAUGAUACGCGAGGAACCUUACCCGGGCUUAAAUUGCAACUGACGGAACCGGAAACGGUUCUUUCUUCGGACAGUUGUGAAGGUGCUGCAUGGUUGUCGUCAGCUCGUGCCGUGAGGUGUCGGCUUAAGUGCCAUAACGAGCGCAACCCUUACGGGUAGUUACCAUCAGGUUAUGCUGGGGACUCUACCCGGACUGCCGUCGUAAGAUGUGAGGAAGGUGGGGAUGACGUCAAAUCAGCACGGCCCUUACGUCCGGGGCUACACACGUGUUACAAUGGGGGGUACAGAAGGCAGCUACACGGCGACGUGGUGCUAAUCCCAAAAGCCUCUCUCAGUUCGGAUUGGAGUCUGCAACCCGACUCCAUGAAGCUGGAUUCGCUAGUAAUCGCGCAUCAGCCACGGCGCGGUGAAUACGUUCCCGGGCCUUGUACACACCGCCCGUCAAGCCAUGAAAGCCGGGGGUACCUGAAGUACGUAACCGCGAGGAGCGUCCUAGGGUAAAACUGGUGAUUGGGGCU
rnacentral:rRNA from 1 species